AGAGUUUGAUCCUGGCUCAGGAUGAACGCUGGCGGCAUGCCUAAUACAUGCAAGUCGAACGAAGUUUCGAGGAAGCUUGCUUCCAAAGAGACUUAGUGGCGAACGGGUGAGUAACACGUAGGUAACCUGCCCAUGUGUCCGGGAUAACUGCUGGAAACGGUAGCUAAAACCGGAUAGGUAUACAGAGCGCAUGCUCAGUAUAUUAAAGCGCCCAUCAAGGCGUGAACAUGGAUGGACCUGCGGCGCAUUAGCUAGUUGGUGAGGUAACGGCCCACCAAGGCGAUGAUGCGUAGCCGGCCUGAGAGGGUAAACGGCCACAUUGGGACUGAGACACGGCCCAAACUCCUACGGGAGGCAGCAGUAGGGAAUUUUCGUCAAUGGGGGAACCCUGAACGAGCAAUGCCGCGUGAGUGAAGAAGGUCUUCGGAUCGUAAAGCUCUGUUGUAAGUGAAGAACGGCUCAUAGAGGAAAUGCUAUGGGAGUGACGGUAGCUUACCAGAAAGCCACGGCUAACUACGUGCCAGCAGCCGCGGUAAUACGUAGGUGGCAAGCGUUAUCCGGAAUCAUUGGGCGUAAAGGGUGCGUAGGUGGCGUACUAAGUCUGUAGUAAAAGGCAAUGGCUCAACCAUUGUAAGCUAUGGAAACUGGUAUGCUGGAGUGCAGAAGAGGGCGAUGGAAUUCCAUGUGUAGCGGUAAAAUGCGUAGAUAUAUGGAGGAACACCAGUGGCGAAGGCGGUCGCCUGGUCUGUAACUGACACUGAGGCACGAAAGCGUGGGGAGCAAAUAGGAUUAGAUACCCUAGUAGUCCACGCCGUAAACGAUGAGAACUAAGUGUUGGAGGAAUUCAGUGCUGCAGUUAACGCAAUAAGUUCUCCGCCUGGGGAGUAUGCACGCAAGUGUGAAACUCAAAGGAAUUGACGGGGGCCCGCACAAGCGGUGGAGUAUGUGGUUUAAUUCGAAGCAACGCGAAGAACCUUACCAGGCCUUG
rnacentral:rRNA from 1 species